rnacentral:rRNA from 1 species
AUUGAACGCUGGCGGCAUGCCUUACACAUGCAAGUCGAACGGCAGCACGGAGCUUGCUCUGGUGGCGAGUGGCGAACGGGUGAGUAAUAUAUCGGAACGUACCCUGGAGUGGGGGAUAACGUAGCGAAAGUUACGCUAAUACCGCAUACGAUCUACGGAUGAAAGUGGGGGAUCGCAAGACCUCAUGCUCGUGGAGCGGCCGAUAUCUGAUUAGCUAGUUGGUAGGGUAAAAGCCUACCAAGGCAUCGAUCAGUAGCUGGUCUGAGAGGACGACCAGCCACACUGGAACUGAGACACGGUCCAGACUCCUACGGGAGGCAGCAGUGGGGAAUUUUGGACAAUGGGCGAAAGCCUGAUCCAGCAAUGCCGCGUGAGUGAAGAAGGCCUUCGGGUUGUAAAGCUCUUUUGUCAGGGAAGAAACGGUGAGGGCUAAUAUCCCUUGCUAAUGACGGUACCUGAAGAAUAAGCACCGGCUAACUACGUGCCAGCAGCCGCGGUAAUACGUAGGGUGCAAGCGUUAAUCGGAAUUACUGGGCGUAAAGCGUGCGCAGGCGGUUUUGUAAGUCUGAUGUGAAAUCCCCGGGCUCAACCUGGGAAUUGCAUUGGAGACUGCAAGGCUAGAAUCUGGCAGAGGGGGGUAGAAUUCCACGUGUAGCAGUGAAAUGCGUAGAUAUGUGGAGGAACACCGAUGGCGAAGGCAGCCCCCUGGGUCAAGAUUGACGCUCAUGCACGAAAGCGUGGGGAGCAAACAGGAUUAGAUACCCUGGUAGUCCACGCCCUAAACGAUGUCUACUAGUUGUCGGGUCUUAAUUGACUUGGUAACGCAGCUAACGCGUGAAGUAGACCGCCUGGGGAGUACGGUCGCAAGAUUAAAACUCAAAGGAAUUGACGGGGACCCGCACAAGCGGUGGAUGAUGUGGGUUAAUUCGAUGCAACGCGAAAAACCUUACCUACCCUUGACAUGGCUGGAAUCCUCGAGAGAUCGGGGAGUGCUCGAAAGAGAACCAGUACACAGGUGCUGCAUGGCUGUCGUCAGCUCGUGUCGUGAGAUGUUGGGUUAAGUCCCGCAACGAGCGCAACCCUUGUCAUUAGUUGCUACGAAAGGGCACUCUAAUGAGACUGCCGGUGACAAACCGGAGGAAGGUGGGGAUGACGUCAAGUCCUCAUGGCCCUUAUGGGUAGGGCUUCACACGUCAUACAAUGGUACAUACAGAGCGCCGCCAACCCGCGAGGGGGAGCUAAUCGCAGAAAGUGUAUCGUAGUCCGGAUUGUAGUCUGCAACUCGACUGCAUGAAGUUGGAAUCGCUAGUAAUCGCGGAUCAGCAUGUCGCGGUGAAUACGUUCCCGGGUCU